CCUAGGGCCCAUCUGCCACCUGGAAGAAGCAAAGUGGGAUCCUCCGUCCGGGCCCAUUUCCAGCCCCUAUAACCUGAGACUCCAGAAGCAUCCAGAAUAGGAAGGGGGGUGGUCAUAGGCAGAAUGCUGAAAAGUGGUUCUGGAAGUCAGGGGAGAGGGAGAGGCAGGGAGCUGAGCUGGACCCGCUCUAGCAGCCUGGCGGCCCUCCUCUCUGGUUCCACCCUCCUCUUCCAACCCACCCCACCCCAGCUCCCACCCGCCUCCACAGGGGGAAAGAGGCCCGAGGCCCAGGAGGGCAUGGAAACUUGGGUGGAGACAACCAGGCUCCAAACCUGAUCCACCACCUCACUACCCCCCAGGCCUCCCAGACUUUCUCCACCCCCCUCCCCACCUGGGAGGCUCCUGAGGUGGGGGGGCCAUUGGGGAAGCAAGUGCCUGGGAGAGGGAGGCUGGGAGAUGCAUUUAGGUGGGGGCUGCAACCCCCUCAUUUUGCAGAGAAGAAAAGGAGACUGAGGGCAGCCGCUCAGCCCAGGCUACACAGCAAGGAAGAGCCAGGACCUGGGCUGGAGCCUGGGGCUGUGGCCAAGGGCACAUCAUGGGGCCUUUCCAUAGAGAGGACAGCGGAUUGGAGGCUGUGACAUUGUAACUGCGAGCAGAGAGGUUCCCAGAAGGAGGGAAUCCAUUACUCUUAUAAAUAAGGGUGCUCAUCUCUCAUGCCUCAUCGUGUACAUUGCUUUGUAUCCUGAUGACUCACCUUUUAAUUGAUGGUCUUCACUGCAGCUGGAUAUUUCUUCACAUGCUGCCAACCACAAGUCCAAACUUGACUUUGUGGCCGAAUGUUUGCAUUCAAUCUGUUAUCAGUUGAAUUUCUGGUUCCAUUCUCAUGACUCAGAUGCACAUCCUUCAUGGAUUCUUAUUAAUUUGUGUUGAUUACCUUUAUGUCACUUCUGGAAUAAUAUUUUGGAUGCAUUUUUUUCACUUGCAAUUAAGUAGUGAAGGUAUUUUUUUCCCAAUAUGUUUUUUCUCAUUGAGCUAUCCUUUGCGUUCAUAAAAAUAUGUAGAUUUUAACAGAAUACGGAUGAGUUGUGACUAAUGUACACACCUGUGCAACCGCCGCCUCCAUCAGCUUUCCUUGAGCCCCGGAAACAGCCAGCUCCCUUCCUCUCCCCGAGGAAAUCACAGUCAUUUCUCAGUACUUAACAGCCACAAAUUCAUUUGCCAUCAAACUAAAGAUAAUCAGGUCUUUGGAAGACACACCUGAGUUUGCUGACGUUGGUCCUCCAGAACGUAAUUCAGCUCUGAAGUCCCGUGGGAACCUUGCAGUUCAAUGUAUGAAUCAAAUAAGUUGUGCCAAUCCAAUCACUGCUACAGGGAAAAUCAUUUGCUGUUCUGUUUGGUUCCAAAGACAGAAACUGAGUUCAUCAAACUCUCUUAAAUGAGUCAAGCUGCGUGUGGGAUUUCACCUCGUGGAGAUACAAACUCCCAUAUGGAAGACGCGUUCUCUGCACCAGAAGGAUUCUUAUCAAGUUAAGACCUAGAGAAUUCUAUGCCAUCAGGCCUUGUUGAAAUAUUUCUUAUCUUCCUUUAGCCUCCCCACAUUUUAGUUUACUUUUCCACAACUGCCUCUCUUGUUCAACUUAAUAUAAAAGCAUGUAGGUUUAGCCAUUUCUUUGUCUUCAUUUCCUUAGGGAAGCUCCAGUGUCACUUAAAACUUACAUAAGUGUAUAUGCAUUUCUCCUGUUAAUCUGUCAGUUUAAUACCCCAGUUUAAUUCUCAGGCCCAGAUGAAAAUCUAGGAGGGCAGUUACAACUUUGUCUCCCCUACAGUGCGCAUAUAUACAUCUGCAUUCAUGUACCCCCACCUCUUCUGUCCUGGAAGGGCCUGGAAGCAGAGACACCGAAGACCAGUGAACACAUCUGGGCCCAGAUCUUGGUUCCUAAGGACGGCACCUUUCUCUACUAAAGAAACUCUUUUCGAAAUGGCUAUUUCUAAGGCUUGGCCAGGGAAAGUAUAUGAUGUGCCAGGAACAACUUAUUGUGUCAGAGAAUGUGCUGGGCAUGUUGGACAGCUGCAUGAGCUUGCCUGAAGGGCUCCGCACUGAAUCUGGGGCAGGGAGAGUCAUGCGUGACGGGACCAUCAAUCCGCAGGAAGCCACGAGGCCAUACUGAUGUUGUCUUGUGCUGUGAAGGUUGCUAUAGCAAAAAUAUCAUCACUUGGGUGGCUUAGAAACAACAGAAACUUAUUUCUCAAGGUUCUGGAGGCUGGAGAGUCCAGGAUCAAGGCACCAAUUUAUUAAGUUGCCUUGUGAGAGAACCCAAUUCCUGGUUCAGGAAUGGCCAUGUUCUCAUUGUACCCUCACAUGGCUGAAGGGGCAAAGGAACUCUCUUGGUGCUUUUGUAAGAGCACUGAUCCCAUUCAUGAGGGCUCUGCCUUCAUGAUCUCAUCUCUUCCCAAAGGCCCCACCUCCAAAUAACAACCCCUUGAGGAUUAGGUUUCAUCACAGGAAUUUGUUGGGGGUGGGGAAGUGGACACAACAUUCAGUCACUAGCAGAUGUGAAUCAUGAAAUGAUUGAAAUGAGAAAAGUUUGAUGAACAACAUAAUAUUUGCAUAAUUUCCAAGCACCUUCCCACAAAUGCUUUACUAAUGAAAAAGGACAAAAAGAUAACUCUAUUGUGGAGAAGGCUGGCAGGUAUCAUGAGUCAUGUGAUCCAAGUCACCAUAACCAGUGACAGGACACAUCAAGGUCAUGGGCAGCUUGAUAGGAUGCACGCAGUGUCACUUCUGUGGGUCUUCUGCCCAAAGGGAAUAACUUGAAUGUCUUCCAAAGCAUCAAGGUCUUGAAAGACAAAGAUGAGGAACCAUUCCAGAGUGAUGGGGACAGACUAAAAAGAUAUGACAAGCAAAUCAAAGCAGGUUCUGAACUGUACCCUGUGACACAGGGAACAUGGAACCAUAGGCCGAAUUUGAAGGGGUCUGAAGGUCAGAUGGCAGUAGGGUCUCAGUGUUGAGUUCCCGAUACUGAUGAGUGUAGAUGGAUGUCCUUUUUUACAGGAAAUACUUAGUAUUAUACUUAUUAUUCAGAGGUGAUGGUGAGGCAGGUCAUAGUAGGAUGCAGGCAGAUAAAGUUCAGAACCCUUGUAAGUUAAAAAAAAAAAAGCCCCAAUCCAACUCAGUCUCUUAGAUAGACCUCAGCUGCUCUGACUGGUUGUGCCCUAUGCAAAUGAAGCAUUGAACUUUCAGCCAAUUAGAAGUGAGUUGUGAUGUCAUUAGUUCAGUUAUCUAUUGGAGAGGGGGACUUUCUCCUCUCAGGAGGAAAUAUAAACCCCAGACACCACAGUCCAGACGUUAUUCUCCUUGGAGCCCCAACUGAUUAGCAGGCACUUUCUCUUUUCACUCAUUAAAAGAGCUUUGCUGGUUGCUGCA